GAGCGGGGCGGAGCUCAGGGGCCCAGCUGGAGACACGCUGCUGCUGUCCAGGGACGUUGCUGGGUGCGCUGAGGCUCCGGGAGAGGGGGGAGCCAUGGAGCCAGCUCAUCAUUUUUGGAAGGUGUUUUUAUGCAGUCCAGCAAGGCAUACAUCAAAGGCUGUUUCCAAACUGGUGUUUGUCAUUUUCCAGUACAAUGCUAUAAGUAUUUCCCUUAAGGACCUCUCUUCUGUUGUGAAUAAAGAUCCUCAGGAAAGUUUGGGAGAUCACCCAUCUUCUCAGAGACCAAGCAAGUUUUUUCUUUGACGUAGUGGUCUGCAUUGUCCAAGCUUAGGCAGCAUAAGUCCCAAGGCCGCUUCAAACCUAUGUCACUUAGAGGCUAACAGUAGGUGCACCCCAAGCCCUUCUGAAGUGUUUCCUGGUGAUAUCCAGCCCCUGACAACUCACAGAGAUACUAGGUUUUCUAUCCCUAGUGUGACAGUGUACACACACGUUUGUUUGAUGGAAUGGAGGAUCAGUUCCUGUAUAACAUCACAGCACUGAGAUGUACAGCAGAGCCUCAGAGUUACGAAGACCUUGGGAAUGAGAUUAUUUUGUAACACUGAAAUGUUUGUAACUCAGAACAAAAUGUUAUGGUGGUUCUUUCAAAAGUUUACAGCUGAACAGUGAUUUAAUACAGCUUUGAAACUUUGCUAUGCAGAAGAAAAAAUGCUACUUUUAACCAUCUUAAUUUUAAUGAAACAAGCACAGAAAGUUUCUUCACCUUGUCAAAUCUUUUUUAAAUUUUCCAUUUUUUUAGUAGCUUAUGUUUAACACACUACUGUACUGUACCGUACCAUAUCUGUCUUUUGUUUGUCUCUGCUGCCUGAUUGCAUACUUCUGGUUCCAAAUGAGAUGUGUGGUUGACUUGUCAGUUCUUAACUCUUGUGUUCAUCAAAGAUUAAGAUUUAAGAGAUAGUGAGUAAGGAUAAUGGAAACAGAAAGAUUACACACCAAACAAAAUUCAUACAUGCAUGCUAGAAACUAAACUUAACUUUAACAGCUAACCAUCUGUCUAAAGCAGUCUAUUCUCACCCAAGGCCUUCUUGCAGCAAUUCCAAACAAGGCUGGCUGGGAUCCUUUUUUUUGAUGAAUUUAAUUGCACAUCCUGAUUACUUCCUCAGGUGCAGGAACAAGAGGUUCCUUUUUCCUUCUCCUUAUAUCCCCCAAAUCCAUUGUUUGUCUCCAGAGUCAUGAUGACUCCCAGAGUUUAUUCUCUGAUGUGGUGAUUUCAUGUUGACGUCACAUCCUCAUGUUGACUUUGUAUGCAAAAUGGAGCUUCAGUUAGGCUCCCUUACAAUGCUUAAUUUAGAUGAGAACAGAGGCAGACAGGCAAAUGUACAUCCUUCGUCUGGCAGACAACCUUUUGUGAACCAUGCCUUCAUUUAGACUUUUUUAGGAACAUAUAUACAGAACUUCUUAUUUGGUAUUUGUACGUACAUUUCACCACAAUAUUAGUGACCAGUCUGACCCUGGCUUUUAUUGAAGACCUCACAUGACAUUUUCUGUGGGUAAAUACUAUGGAAGUACUGUGCUAGGUGAGAUGAGUUUGUCAUGCCUGUCAGGAGUUACUGUACAGAACAAUGAACCCUCUGCCAGCUGGCAUGGAGGAAUCCUCAGGGUCACACCCUUACAAGAUGGCUGCUCCCUUUGCAUGCCAUGAAAAUCAGUCUGAAGGGUUUCCAGCACUGCUGCACAAAGCAGUCCUUUGGACAUUGUGGUAUAUUUAAAACCGUUACAUUUACAAGCUGUCACUUUAAGUGGUAAGGGGUUUCCUAGUUCUGCUUGCAGGCUAGGGAGCUGUGCAAGGAAGCGUAUAGUUUGGGUCUCAUACAGUCAGUGUGCAAAGAGCCAGCCUAGAUCAAGUUGGGAUGAGUUGUGCCUCUUUGCCUUAUGGAGCAGCCUGCUUUGUUUUUUCUUUGUUUUAGGUUCUUGUGUGUUAGGGUUCUGGAGUCUAAGAAAUAAAGUAGUGUUAUGUUGCAACCUUCCAGAAAGAGCAUUAUAUGUUUCUAUCUAACUUCUCUAUAUGUAUUCAAUGAACAUAACAGACAUGUGAGGGGUAAGAGAAGGGGCUGGAAAACAUGACAAUAAAUGGUACCCUUGGUCCCAUUCCACACAGAAAUAUGGCACAAGAGAUGUGGAGGCUGCCUCAGCCCUUAGAUUGGAGUAGCAGCUGCUGAAUGGUUCUGUGGCUACUCCACAGAUGAUGAUUCCUUCUCACUUGCCCUCAUGGCGCUCCUCCGUGCCCAGCUGGGUUACUGAGGCUAUGGGCGGGAUUUGGGCCUCAGAGCACCAAAGGUCUUUGUACAGUGUGCAUACUUCAGGAGAAGCAAUGUGUGUCCUUGAUUCCUGUUUAUCUUGCAGUAAUACUUUUGGAUACACAUAAAUAACUGCAAGAAGUAUUUAUGGAAUGUAGAAAGCUCUACCCCUGGCUUUCAUGCUCACUCAUCCUUAACCCCACUAGAAUUAAGAGAUAUACAUAAUAAAUGAUUCAUUAUAAGCAAUUAUCUCUGGAGAUUUUUUUUUAAUCUUAUCAAAGCGUAGACUAUGUCAAUCAUAUGCUAAAUCCCAAAUGGAAUUACUUCUUAUAAUCAACCCCUCUUAAGUUGUGUAUCUCAUUCCUACCACAGUUUUAAAAGAGGAUCUCUGAUUCUCAGUGCUUCCAUUUCAAAUUAAAGGUGGAAAAUUAUACACACACCUCUACGUUGAUAUAACGCGACCUGAUAUAACACGAAUUCGGAUAUAAUGCAGUAAAGCAGUGCUCGGGGCGGGGUGAGGAGUGGGGUGCUCUGCACACUCCGGUGAAUCAAAGCAAGUUCAAUAUAACGCAGUUUCACCUAUAACAUGGU